GAUAUCAGCUGAAAAAGUCAUCAACAAAAAAGUUGAAUAACUCAUCAAGAUCUAAAACUUUUAUUUUGGUCAUUUCUUCAUACGACAAAGUGAUAGUAACAUUGUUCACAGAAUUGACAUAUCUCUUAUCUGGUUUUAUAAACUAUAACACAUAUAUGUAAAAUUUGUGAAUAAUAUUACUAACAUUUCGUCAGAUGAAGAAAUAAAAAAAUAAAAGUUAUAGAUCUUGAUGAGUUAUUCAACUUUGUUGUUGAUGACUUUUUCAAUUGAAAUC
rnacentral:pre_miRNA from 17 species